GAAUCUGGGUGUGAACCUGCCACACCUGGGGAGAGGAAGCUCAGCUGAGACAUUGCCUUCAUCAGAUUGCCCUGUGGGCGGAGCUGUGGGGUAUUUGCUUGGUUGCUAAUCGAUAUAGGGGGGCCCAGCCCACUGUGGGAGGUACCAUCCCCUAGGUAGGUGGGCCUUGGCGGUAGCUAAACGGGAACCUGAAAACAAAUCAGUAAGCAACACGGUCUCCUCUCCAACUCCUGCCUCGAGCUCCUGCCCUGGCUUCACUCAAUGGUGCGCUGGAACCUUAAGGGUAUGUACACUGCCACCUCGUGCAUUUGGGUUGACUCUAAAUGAUCUGGAGACUUAGAAGCAACACACAUGGAGCCACAGAUCAAACAACUGUCAUUCGGAGGACCCCUUCUGUGCACCUGGAUCAUAGCCCCUACUCCCCACCCCAGUGUGAUUGUCUCCCUUGUCUUCUCCUCAGCUGUACUGCCAGCAUCUUGAGAAAGCAGCUGCAUUGAACCUGUCCAUCAGGGAAGUCUAUCGCAUCUCACAGGUCCUGGUACACUCAGUGCUCACAAGCUUUUGCUAAAUGAAGAGGCAAAACCGUGAUACCCAAUCGCACUAUCCAAUAAAGAAUAAACCAGAGCACAAUGUGAUGUUCCCCUGUAGACAGGACACGCUCCCAUUCAGUCUACUGCAGGGAUCCCACUGAUUUGUUUAACAAAAGAACAAGCAUACUUUUUUGCAUCAUCACUAGGACAUGCUCUUUGUCCCCGUGGGAAUCUUUGAAGGCUGGAGACACAAAAGACAGAGCUGGAAGCCAUUUUUGAGGGUGAAGAGCACUUUUCAAACAAUUUCAUAUGUAAUUUCCUUUACUGGUAAACAUAGGAAACAAAACCCAAGUAUUUUUCCCAAACAGAUGGUAAAGACUUCUGUUUACCUGCC